UGCUUCCCAGGUGUAGUGGGUUUACGUGGCAAGGAUUUGGUAACAGGGUGGCUGUAGGGGUGGCCUCUGUGAGCAGAGCCCAGCAGCUGCCCCAUGUCAGAGCAGAGCCAGCUCCAGACUGCUCCAAAAGGGACCUGCUGCUGGCCAGAGCUGAGCCAGG